UCUCAUGAUCAUCGCCCAGCCUCACAUCAAAAUGUCGACGGAGGUACUGAGCAUGUGGGGUACUGCUGUGUGUGGCAAGGGUGUAGGUCUGGUGUCAAUAUUGGUAGGAACCAAAUCAGCCUCAACCCCCCUCCAAAAUACACGGUAUUAUCACAGUAUUGGUAGUACGUGUCCUUACCAUCGAUAAAGGGAAAGUACAAGAAUUACAGAAAAUACAAUAUUUAUAAAUUAUAGAAAAUUAACAUCCUGGGCUUCAAGUUAGCAAAAAAAUCAUGACACAUUAGCUACGUAUAUUUUUAGCCUUAUUCUCCAAAAGCAAUAGAGCAAAGAGAAAAUUCUUAUGUAUCAAGGGAUGAAGGAGCAAUGAAAAUCAUGCGCUUUAUCCCCCUCAGAGGAUGAAAUAAUGAAAAGACGUAAGUUUUUCUGUUUCGGACCACAGAUAGGGGGGACUUCUCUAGUUUGCUGCCCGUCAAGUGAAUGUUUAAUGUAAAAUUGAAUGAAGUUUUUUGACCCCACAUGCGUUCAGCAUACCGUCACAAAAGAUUAACCACGGAAAACGCGCCGACUGCAAUAACUCUACCAAACAUAAUUAUCUGAAAUCCUUUUGAUGUGCGAUUAUAAUAAAAAGCCGAACCAUAUGGAUACUCGCUCACUGCGCUCUGGUUUCGAGCGGCUGCACCCCCCCGUCACGACUUGGAGCCAGAAAGCUCACGUGACGCGAAACUGCACAUAGGUCAGGCUUCGCAUUUCUAGGUUCCAUCCUGCAUCUCCGUGAACUUCAAAGGGGACAACAAUGGGUUAACGAGAGCAGACAUGGAGGGGAAGCAGACACCACUGGGGGGCCACCCUUGAUUUUGCACAGCAAAUGCCAGCAGAAGGAAAUGCGUUUCCUUUAAUUCUACUCUGAGGAUCUUAACGGGAAAAAAAUUUGGAGGUUACUAAAAAUAUUUGUAGGGACAUUUUGGAUUCUCCUGUAAUAUUCGUUGGUCCCUACUAUCCAUACCAAAAUCUACGUCCUUGGUGUGUGGGACUUCAUUUUCCAUGAGGCUCGGUGAAAUCCCAGGGGGUGCAUCUUUAAAGGUCAAAGGUCACAUUUAAGUGUCAAUAAGCUAUGCACUUCAAUUAUGAAUUCACAAAUUUAAAGGUGCUUAGUCAUGAUCGAAGGUGCCGCUCACUAAUAUACUUUGCUCAUUCUCUGUUUGACUGAAGAUUAAUCUGAUGUACAUAAUCCUGGUCAUUGGCAAACUGCAACGUAACAAACAUACUCCUGUCUCCGGAGCCGGUAGUUUCCAGCAUUUUCUGCUUUAUUUCCUCUUCCAAGCAAAGCCGAAUUUUUCCGGGAAAGGCGCACAAGCGUUUGAUCUCUUUCCAGAGACUGGCAGGUCUGUCUCGCAGAGCAGGCCUCCUUCUCUCAGCGCGAAACAGGCCUCGCCAGUAUCUGCAGGCCUACGCGGGCAUGCUGAGUCAUCGCGAGUCAGCGCUCGGGGGCAGUUUGACCCAUCGAUACCACAUGACUCUGUUAGCCAGUGAUCUGGACCCCACAUUCGCCAGAGAAUAAGUGCUGUCAUGGCAGCCGGCCCUGACGCUGUGGGGGGUGGGUGCUCCUGUGAGCGGGGUGAUGCUUUACUUUGUCAUUCUAGGUGAGAAUGAGGAACGGAAAAUGAAGAGAAGUGUAUUUUGUUUGGUUACUUAUGGUUUUGGUUAAGGCUGGGUAGGGGUUCAGGUUGUCAUAGUUAGCAUUAGCAUAACAAGGCAAGAUGCUCCCAGUACAAAGGGCCAAAAAACAAACCCGUGUGCAGCCAUAUGCUGGCAAGUACAGGCGGCUGCACAGCGGCUGCACGGCGGCUGCACGGCGGCUGCACGGCGGCUGCACGGCGGCUGCACGGCGGCUGCACGGCGGCCUCGACAUGGCCUGGCUCCGUUUGAUAAGUCCGAGCAGAGACAGAGACAGAGACCCCCUGGGUCGGGGGCUGCGUUCCCUCCUCAGUCGGUUUUGUCAUUUUCAUAGUCAUGUUUCUUGGGGUCCUGCCUCCUCCCCCCCCUCCCAAUUACCAGGACAUUCUGAUUUAGUCCAGUAUCAGGGAAGUGAGGGGCCAGUACUGCAGGGUAACACCUUUAUCCCCCCCCCCCCCCCUU